UACGUAGGGGGCUAGCGUUGUCCGGAUUUAUUGGGCGUAAAGGGUGCGUAGGCGGGUCUUUAAGUCAGGGGUGAAAUCCUGGAGCUCAACUCCAGAACUGCCUUUGAUACUGAGGAUCUUGAGUUCGGGAGAGGUGAGUGGAACUGCGAGUGUAGAGGUGAAAUUCGUAGAUAUUCGCAAGAACACCAGUGGCGAAGGCGGCUCACUGGCCCGAUACUGACGCUGAGGCACGAAAGCGUGGGGAGCAAACAGG
rnacentral:rRNA from 1 species